CCAGAGCCUGAACCUGCUGCUUUGAAGAGAUCUUGGGACUGAAGGAGGGCUGAGGCAUUUCUAAGGCAGCUGAUGAGAACAGAGGAAGGAGCAGAUGAUGGCACCAAAUCCUGCCCUGGAGCUGAGCAGGGCUCAAGGAGCAGCCCCGUGUGGAGGAGCAGAUGGAGCUCUGCAAACUAUCAGCUGCAUUUUGUGGAGCAUUUCUGGAGCUGAGGGACAACUGUCUGAGAAUUUCCAGGUCAGGUAACCUUGCUCACUCUUGUGGAAAGCCUGAGGAGCUCCAGGAGGGAUUUAAAGAAGAGAUCUUCCUCUCCUGUUCAGUGUGCAGGUGGUAAAACACUGACUGCCAUGAACUUCAUUAGGAAAAAAACAAAAAAAAAAGAAGAAAAAGCUGUGGUUUGAAAGCAGCUGGAUGGCAGACUGCAGGCUGGGAAUGUGGCUGCCAAAACCACCACAAGGAGACUGGGGCAGAGAGGCAUUUGUGGAGCAUUCUGUUUGCUAAUUGCUCAUGGAAUUUCAGGUUGAAAGAGAAGAAGGGAAUCUGCCAGGUGGCUGCAUCCUGAAAAACAGGCACUUUCCAGCAAUGAACUUCAUCCAAAGCCACUGAAGGCCUUGUUUUCCUGUCCCGUUUUGCAGCAGUCCUGUGUGUGGGAGAAGUACAACUGGGGGACACCUGAUGAAAAGAGGUGCUGGAACAACUGGCCUUCAGCUCUGCCACCUUCCUUCAAGGCUUGCAAAAAAAAAAAAAAAAACCAACGAAAAAGACAAAAAAAAUCCAAGCCAAAGGUAGUUUAUGUGCAGCUCAGGAAGCUCUCAGCAAUGAGUGUGUCUGUGAUUUAAUAACACAUCUACCCAAAAUGACACUUCUAAUACUCACUGAGAAAAAGAAGGCAUAGCAGCACACAAGGCACUGCUAUUGCAGCAACAAACAGCCAAACUACCAGGCAUUUAUUUUUCAAUGUACACAAUUACUGAAGGAGAAUAAAAAUUGUUCUUUGACACUCUGACAGACCAUAGAAAGCCCUGUGCUUCCCCUACUCCCAUGCUCCUGACAAGAAACACCUCACAAAUUCUAAUAAAUGGUGAAUAGAAAUAAAUACUUUAACUACACAGCAUCGGGUUUCAAAUGGCUUCCUGAAUCAGAAAGUGCUGCUCGUCCAUCUUCCUUAUUUCUCCACUCUGUAAUGGUGGCUCUCCAAAAGUUAAAGUGAGAUGGAUACUGCAAGGAUCACAGACACUACACUGGGAAACCAAGUAUCAGUGGGUACAUCCAGAUUUAUGGUAGGUGAUGGCAGUAAAGUGAAAGUAAAACUGUUUGCACAGUCUGUAUUGUUGGCCAUUACUGUGUAUUUGCCCUUUUUUCUUGCUUAGCUGCAGCUGGAAGAAUGGAAAAUUGUACCUUCUGUACGGUAUUAGGAGACACUUUCUGAUCGUAAGGUCAAUCAGACUGGUUUAGCUGCUUGAGGUAUUUAUGGCACAAUCACUCAGUGUCUUUAAGGAAAGGUUAGAUACAUUUAUGGGAAAGGUAUUUUGCAGAAGCUUUCCCGCUUCAUAGAGGUCUUGGACAAAAUGACCCAGGAGGCCCCUUCCAAGUCUAUCAAAUGUGGUUCCCUGAUUGAUGCUGUUUCCCCCCAAAGUCUUUUCAAAACACAAAGCACUGUUAUAAAAUUUAAUAUGAUACACUAUAUAACUUUAACACAAUGCCAUUUUCUUAUAGGAAAUGGUUAGCUGGUAGCACAGGAGCCUCGUGCAAGAGAAAGAAAAGUAGAAAAAAAGGAAUUGCAGUGCAGUUUCUCUGCUGAGGGAUAUCGACUGUAACAUUUACUCUGUGUCUGAGCAUGGACCCUCAGCUGUGCAGGGAGGCACCAAGCCAGGGAAGGAUAUAAGGAACCGAGGUUGUGGAAUUUAUUUCUCUAGAAAAGCCUGACAAGGCCUGAGGUAAUUUUCUAUGCUGUGCAGUAAUCAUUCCCUCAAUGCUGGGAAGCAAAUGGACACCCAGCUCUCCCUGUAAAUCACUGCCCGGUGCUGCAUCAGGGACCGGGAGCAGGGCAGUGCCAGCGCUCCUGCGCAGCCACAGGCCCGGAGCUCAGGUGUGUCCUGCCUGCCCCAAGUGCACCGCAGCGAGAGGAGCCCGUUCUGUGAGCAGCCCUCUCUGCCAUGGCUCUGUCUCUGCCAGCCCAGCAGCACCGUGGAGCAGGCGGAGCAAAUCCCUGAAAACUGCCAGCGCCAAAACCCACACUUCUGAGAAAGGGCAGCAGCACCCCUGCCAAGGGGUUUGUCAGCAGGAGAGCUUGGGCCACGUUUCCCUUGGCUCAAUACAACACUGGCAGGCAGAAUGCUCUCCAGGUCUUCUAUGUUUCCACCAAACCAUUCAGUAAAAUGAUAAUUUCUCACUACUAUACUUCUCUUUUGUUUCAAUUUGCUGAAUGUUUCCUAAAUCGACUUUUUUUUUUAUUUAAAACAAUUAACAUAUUUAAAAAUUAAAGUCAUGUAAUAAUUUUUUUAAAAAAGCAAAACCAAACCCAACCAGAUUCUCUGGGCCAUCUGGUUGAAAUGCUCUGGUCAGCCUCCACUGCUCUGUAGUAAGUUUUAAUUUUAGAUUCUUACGGGAAAAAAAAAUAAAAAGAAACAAAUACACAGAAUUUUUUGAAUUGGAGUUCACUCUCAAAAUCAUUUUGUAUUAACCUUUUUGUUUUCACUCCAGCUGAUUUAGUUAAAGGCCAAACUCUUCUUCCAAAAAUCAGCUCCCAGCCCCCAUCUUCUUGGGAUAGCCCUGACAGGAAAUAACAACAUCCAUACACAGACACUCCAAAGCCUUUUGAAGUCUCACAAAUGUGAGCUGUUCCCUUGUGCAGAGCAGGCUGGGAUUAACUCUUUUAUUAACCUUAUAACCUCAUCCAUGAGAAAGAAAACUAGCCAAUCCCUUUUAUAUAUAUAUAUAUAUAAUUUUUAAUUUGGAAGCCUGCAGCCUUCUCUACUCAAACAUUUGUGAGCUCACCCUACAGACAGGAGCAAAAAAGCCCAUGGGAAGCCCCCUCUCCCUGAGGGAGCUCCACAAAAGCCUCUCUUGGGCCCUCCCAUUAUGUUGCACUCAGUGUCAAAGCUUGUGUUUUCAUUGGAAAAUAUUUUCCCUUUACAGGAGGGUUGUGUCUCUCUGUAUUGGUGAGAGCAAAUAACAACCUUCUGGUCCUUUUCAACAUGUUGCAUCAAUGUAUUUUCCUGAUUCCCAUGUCAAAAAAGCAACUUUUAGCAGAAUGAAAAAUCUGACCUGGGUGUAAUCCUGACAGUGCUCCAAUUUCUCAUCCUUAGCUUCAUCCCUGCACUGCAGUGCAGGAGGCUCACGUUGGAAUAGCUCUUCUCACCAGAGUCAAAAUGGUAAAAAUUAGCUCAGAGAGUGACAUGAACAGGAAUUUCAAAGGCAGGAAAAUUUAUCUCCUGCUCUUUGUCUUACACUGUGGUGCACUAGAGUGGUUGGAAGAUUUAACUUCCAAGCAUCCCAUCUAUAUAAAUCCUAGUGGACAACUCCCCAGCUUCUUUUUUUAGGGUGUUGAGCUCAGCAGCUGGAAUCUUCCAGGGAAUGAUGGUCAAGAUAAGGAUGGAGAAAAACUUUCUUGUUGUCAUCAGGUGUUGGUCAGGGGUCAGGAUUAGGGAACAGCCAAAGAGAGCUCUGUGUGUUACAUGAGGUCACGGCUCUUUAGUGUAAGGAGCACGGGUUUGGGCCAGCCCUGCCCCUGCUCUGCUCAUUGACUGCUCUGAUGAUACAGCCCCCCUUGGGCUUUCUGCUUUUGCAAGAUUUACACUCGGUUUAAAUCUCAAUAGAAAGCUCCACUUUAGCUUUUAGGAGGCCAAGACACUUGAAAAUCUCCGAUGGGAAGGACAAGUGAGGAAGGCAGAAUAUCUUUCCCUUGCAAAGGCAAAUACCACUUGGCUGAGGAGUUUCCAGCUGCUUUGCUGGAUAAACAGACACAUCACAGUUCUAAAGUACAGGGGUGCCCUUCACACCAACAGGCAGAGAAAAGAGGCAGUGGGAAGAGUAAAAGGCACCAGAAUAAAAAAGGCAGGAUCCAACUGAAAUGUUACCUUCUUUGGUCUUUGAAAAUGGGAAAACCCAUUCAGGAUCAGGAAUUUCCAGACUGGGCUGUAUGCACCAUUAAUUGCUCCAUGAAGCAGAGCUGCUCUGCUAUUGUUGCAUCCUCCAAAAACAGCUGUUACUGUGAGCUCUUUGGGGCUCAGGAACUCCAUUUCCCAGUUUUCACUUAGUACUUCAGUGAUCAUAUAUAAAUAAUAAUAAUGAUAAUCAUAACAAUACCUGGCUUGCCAUUAUGUUGUACUCAGUCUUUGUGAUGCCUCUCUCAUGAUAAAAUCUGUGUAUUAAACACUUUAAUUGAAACUCUUAAUAAAACUGAGAUAUUUUUA